rnacentral:rRNA from 1 species
ACGAGUGGCGGACGGGUGAGUAAUGUCUGGGAAACUGCCUGAUGGAGGGGGAGUAACUACUGGAAACGGUAGCUAAUACCGCAUAACGUCGCAAGACCAAAGAGGGGGACCUUCGGGCCUCUUGCCAUCGGAUGUGCCCAGAUGGGAUUAGCUAGUAGGUGGGGUAACGGCUCACCUAGGCGACGAUCCCUAGCUGGUCUGAGAGGAUGACCAGCCACACUGGAACUGGGACACGGUCCAGACUCCUACGGGAGGCAGCAUG